rnacentral:rRNA from 1 species
AGCGAACGCUGGCGGCAGGCUUAACACAUGCAAGUCGAACGGGCGUAGCAAUACGUCAGUGGCAGACGGGUGAGUAACGCGUGGGAACGUACCUUUUGGUUCGGAACAACACAGGGAAACUUGUGCUAAUACCGGAUAAGCCCUUACGGGGAAAGAUUUAUCGCCGAAAGAUCGGCCCGCGUCUGAUUAGCUAGUUGGUGAGGUAACGGCUCACCAAGGCGACGAUCAGUAGCUGGUCUGAGAGGAUGAUCAGCCACAUUGGGACUGAGACACGGCCCAAACUCCUACGGGAGGCAGCAGUGGGGAAUCUUGCGCAAUGGGCGAAAGCCUGACGCAGCCAUGCCGCGUGAAUGAUGAAGGUCUUAGGAUUGUAAAGUUCUUUAGCCUGUGACGAUGAUGACGGUAACAGGAGAAUAAGCCCCGGCUAACUUCGUG